rnacentral:rRNA from 1 species
GAUGAACGCUGGCGGCGUGCCUAAUACAUGCAAGUCGAGCGAACGGACGAGAAGCUUGCUUCUCUGAUGUUAGCGGCGGACGGGUGAGUAACACGUGGAUAACCUACCUAUAAGACUGGGAUAACUUCGGGAAACCGGAGCUAAUACCGGAUAAUAUUUUGAACCGCAUGGUUCAAAAGUGAAAGACGGUCUUGCUGUCACUUAUAGAUGGAUCCGCGCUGCAUUAGCUAGUUGGUAAGGUAACGGCUUACCAAGGCAACGAUGCAUAGCCGACCUGAGAGGGUGAUCGGCCACACUGGAACUGAGACACGGUCCAGACUCCUACGGGAGGCAGCAGUAGGGAAUCUUCCGCAAUGGGCGAAAGCCUGACGGAGCAACGCCGCGUGAGUGAUGAAGGUCUUCGGAUCGUAAAACUCUGUUAUUAGGGAAGAACAUAUGUGUAAGUAACUGUGCACAUCUUGACGGUACCUAAUCAGAAAGCCACGGCUAACUACGUGCCAGCAGCCGCGGUAAUACGUAGGUGGCAAGCGUUAUCCGGAAUUAUUGGGCGUAAAGCGCGCGUAGGCGGUUUUUUAAGUCUGAUGUGAAAGCCCACGGCUCAACCGUGGAGGGUCAUUGGAAACUGGAAAACUUGAGUGCAGAAGAGGAAAGUGGAAUUCCAUGUGUAGCGGUGAAAUGCGCAGAGAUAUGGAGGAACACCAGUGGCGAAGGCGACUUUCUGGUCUGUAACUGACGCUGAUGUGCGAAAGCGUGGGGAUCAAACAGGAUUAGAUACCCUGGUAGUCCACGCCGUAAACGAUGAGUGCUAAGUGUUAGGGGGUUUCCGCCCCUUAGUGCUGCAGCUAACGCAUUAAGCACUCCGCCUGGGGAGUACGACCGCAAGGUUGAAACUCAAAGGAAUUGACGGGGACCCGCACAAGCGGUGGAGCAUGUGGUUUAAUUCGAAGCAACGCGAAGAACCUUACCAAAUCUUGACAUCCUUUGACAACUCUAGAGAUAGAGCCUUCCCCUUCGGGGGACAAAGUGACAGGUGGUGCAUGGUUGUCGUCAGCUCGUGUCGUGAGGUGUUGGGUUAAGUCCCGCAUCGAGCGCAACCCUUAAGCUUAGUUGCCAUCAUUAAGUUGGGCACUCUAAGUUGACUGCCGGUGACAAACCGGAGGAAGGUGGGGAUGACGUCAAAUCAUCAUGCCCCUUAUGAUUUGGGCUACACACGUGCUACAAUGGACAAUACAAAGGGCAGCGAAACCGCGAGGUCAAGCAAAUCCCAUAAAGUUGUUCUCAGUUCGGAUUGUAGUCUGCAACUCGACUACAUGAAGCUGGAAUCGCUAGUAAUCGUAGAUCAGCAUGCUACGGUGAAUACGUUCCCGGGUCU